rnacentral:rRNA from 1 species
CCUACGGGUGGCAGCAGUGGGGAAUAUUGCACAAUGGGGGAAACCCUGAUGCAGCGACGCCGCGUGAGUGAAGAAGUAACUCGUUAUGUAAAGCUCUAUCAGCAGGGAAGAAAAUGACGGUACCUGAGUAAGAAGCCCCGGCUAACUACGUGCCAGCAGCCGCGGUAAUACGUAGGGGGCAAGCGUUAUCCGGAUUUACUGGGUGUAAGGGGAGCGUAGACGGCAGUGCAAGUCUGGAGUGAAAGGCGGGGGCUCAACCCCGGGACUGCUCUUGGAACUGCGCGGCUGGAGUGCAGGAGGGGCAGGCGGAAUGCCUGGUGUAGCGGUGAAAUGCGUAGAUAUCAGGAGGAACACCGGUGGCGAAGGCGGCCUGCUGGACUGCGACUGACGUUGAGGCCCGAAAGCGUGGGGAGCAAACAGGAUUAGAUACCCUGGUAGUC